UACGGAGGGGGCUAGCGUUGUUCGGAAUUACUGGGCGUAAAGCGCGCGUAGGCGGACCUGCAAGUCGGGGGUGAAAGCCCGAGGCUCAACCUCGGAACUGCCUUCGAUACUGCGGGUCUCGAGUCCGGGAGAGGUGAGUGGAAUUCCUAGUGUAGAGGUGAAAUUCGUAGAUAUUAGGAAGAACACCAGUGGCGAAGGCGGCUCACUGGCCCGGCAUUGACGCUGAGGCGCGAAAGCGUGGGGAGCAAACAGG
rnacentral:rRNA from 1 species